rnacentral:rRNA from 1 species
UACGGGGGGGGCAAGCGUUGUUCGGAAUUACUGGGCGUAAAGGGCUCGUAGGUGGCCAACUAAGUCAGACGUGAAAUCCCCCGGCUUAACCGGGGAACUGCGUCUGAUACUGGAUGGCUUGAGUUCGGGAGAGGGAUGCGGAAUUCCUGGUGUAGCGGUGAAAUGCGCAGAUAUCAGGAGGAACACCGGUGGCGAAGGCGGGUCUCUGGGCCGAUACUGACGCUGAGGAGCGAAAGCGUGGGGAGCGAACAGG